UACGUAUGGUGCAAGCGUUAUCCGGAUUUACUGGGUGUAAAGGGAGCGCAGGCGGUGCGGCAAGUCUGAUGUGAAAGCCCGGGGCUCAACCCCGGGACUGCAUUGGAAACUACCGAACUAGAGUGUCGGAGAGGUAAGUGGAAUUCCUAGUGUAGCGGUGAAAUGCGUAGAUAUUAGGAGGAACACCAGUGGCGAAGGCGGCUUGCUGGACGACAACUGACGCUGAGGCGCGAAAGCGUGGGGAGCAAACAGG
rnacentral:rRNA from 1 species